GACAGAGGGUGCAAACGUUGCUCGGAAUCACUGGGCGUAAAGGGCGUGUAGGCGGGAAGGAAAGUCAGAUGUGAAAUCCCUGGGCUCAACCCAGGAACUGCAUUUGAAACUCCCUUUCUUGAGUGUCGGAGAGGAAAGUGGAAUUCCUGGUGUAGAGGUGAAAUUCGUAGAUAUCAGGAGGAACACCGGUGGCGAAGGCGGCUUUCUGGACGACAACUGACGCUGAGACGCGAAAACGUGGGGAGCAAACAGG
rnacentral:rRNA from 1 species